UAUCUCUGUAGAGUCUGCAUAUCAAUAAGCGGAGGAAAAGAAACUAACUAGGAUCCCCUCAGUAACGGCGAGUGAAGCGGGAAGAGCUCAAAUUUGAAAUCUUCAAGGUUUUACCUUGACGAAUUGUAGUUUAAAGAAGUGUUUUCUGUUGGAGUUUUGGUAAAAGUUCUUUGGAAUAGGACAUCAUAGAGGGUGAGAAUCCCGUAUUUGACCAUUAUUUCCAGCUUUGUGAUACACUUUCAACGAGUCGGAUUGUUUGGGAAUGCAGUCCAAAAUGGGUGGUAAAUUUCAUCUAAAGCUAAAUAUUGGCGAGAGACCGAUAGCGAACAAGUACCGUGAGGGAAAGAUGAAAAGAACUUUGAAAAGAGAGUUAAACAGUACGUGAAAUUGUCAAAAGGGAAGCGUUCGACACCAGUGUUGUUUCUACGAAAAUCAAUUUAUGAUGGCUUGAUGCUAAGCUUUAAGACUUUAUCCGCUUGUUGUUUAGUUUUCUUGUCUUUGUGAAUGCACUUUUAGUGGAACAAGUCAACAUCAAUUUCUUUUGCUGUAAAAGGGUAAGAGGAAGGUGGCUUCGGCUUCGGUUGAAGUGUUUAUAGCCUUUUAUCUCUGCAGUCGGAGAGAUUGAGGUCUGCAGCGUAGACUCUUCGGGGUUAGAUACGUCGGUGCUAAGCUAUAGCUUUUCAUAGACAACUUGUUGACUAUGUUUAGUCAUGUGGCUUACCCGCUGGCGCUAUUUUACCUACGCUUAGGAUGUUGAGUCAUCACACAUCUCU
rnacentral:rRNA from 1 species